rnacentral:rRNA from 1 species
UACGGAGGGGGCUAGCGUUGUUCGGAAUUACUGGGCGUAAAGCGCGCGUAGGCGGACCUGCAAGUCGGGGGUGAAAGCCCGAAGGCUCAACCUCGGAACUGCCUUCGAUACUGCGGGUCUCGAGUCCGGGAGAGGUGAGUGGAAUUCCUAGUGUAGAGGUGAAAUUCGUAGAUAUUCGCAAGAACACCAGUGGCGAAGGCGGCUCACUGGCCCGAUACUGACGCUGAGGCACGAAAGCGUGGGGAGCAAACAGGG